UAUAGGCAAAGGCAAUUCGAAUGGU
rnacentral:piRNA from 1 species